rnacentral:rRNA from 1 species
AGGGUGCAAGCGUUAAUCGGAAUUACUGGGCGUAAAGCGUGCGCAGGCGGUUGUGUAAGACAGAUGGGAAAUCCCCGGGCUCAACCUGGGAACUGCAUUUGUGACUGCACAGCUGGAGUGCGGCAGAGGGGGAUGGAAUUCCGCGUGUAGCAGUGAAAUGCGUAGAUAUGCGGAGGAACACCGAUGGCGAAGGCAAUCCCCUGGGCCUGCACUGACGCUGAGGAGCGAAAGCUAGGGGAGCAAACGGG